GGGAGCCUGACCACUCUUCAACAGACGGAGCGGGAGCUGCCUUGUCCCACCCUGCGCCUCAGCAAAUGGACUGGUGUUGAGAAAUCUCCUAAAAUCAAGAAGGACAAAAAUAUGAAAUGCAAUGUAUAUUUGGAACAAUAACAGGAAGAGUUGUAUAUUCUGACACUAUUAUAUGGGGAAAAGAGACAUGUAUGGCUUGUCCUAUUGAUUUUCCCCUUGUUGCCUUCAACACCAAUGUGAUGCAACAUCAUGCUUAAGG